rnacentral:rRNA from 1 species
CUCAGGAUGAACGCUAGCGACAGGCCUAACACAUGCAAGGUCGAGGGGCAGCACAAGGAGCAAUCUGAGGUGGCGACCGGCGCACGGGUGAGUAACACGUAUGCAACCUGCCUGUAAGCGGGGAAUAACCCGUUGAAAGACGGACUAAUACCGCAUAAUACUAAAUUACUGCAUGGUAAUUUAUUUAAACAUUUAUGGCUUACAGAUGGGCAUGCGCAUGAUUAGCUAGUUGGAGAGGUAACGGCUCCCCAAGGCAACGAUCAUUAGGGGUUCUGAGAGGAAGGUCCCCCACACUGGUACUGAGACACGGACCAGACUCCUACGGGAGGCAGCAGUGAGGAAUAUUGGUCAAUGGACGAGAGUCUGAACCAGCCAAGUCGCGUGCAGGAAGAAUGUCCUAUGGAUUGUAAACUGCUUUUGCAGGGGAAUAAAGUGCAUCACGUGUGAUGUUUUGUAUGUACUCUGCGAAUAAGGAUCGGCUAACUCCGUGCCAGCCGCCGC